CACGAGUUUCACAGGUUUAUUUAUUUUACAAAUAUAACCAGAAUUGCAUCAAAUGAAAAUGAAGCUCAGCACAAUGUACUCCUACAAGACUGUACAGAAAAAUGAACAAACCUUAACCCCUUAAGGACACGACGUGUGUGACAUGUCAUGAUUCCCUUUUAUUCAAGAAGUUUGGUCCUUAAGGGGUUAAAGCUCAAUGAGUUACAGACUCAACUUUUACUGAAAUUAGGCUAAACCAAAGCAGCUUUUAGGUAGUUUUGGAACUAUCAACUCAGCUAGUCUCACAGAUACAGUUUGAAAUAGUUCACUUAUCUUAGUAACUGAGAGUCAUUAAUGGCUUCAAUCUUGCAGUACUGGUUUGAUCCUAUACUAGAUGUAUCCUUCCAAUAUACCAAAACUAAGUGUAUACGCUUACUAAAGAAAGAGGGAAUACUUCAAUGUGAAAUGACAACACAAUAGAAAGAGUGGAAAAAUAUAUUCAAUUGUUAAAUGUGCAUUCAGUUGUCAACACUCCACAGCUCACAUCAAUCCGUAAGUACAUCAUUUUGGUUUCCAUGAGAACUGUACCACAUCUAGCACUUCACUUUUUAGAAAUACAGUCUGUAGGAACUCGUUAGCAUGGCUGCUUAGCUUUUCUCAUUUAUUAAGAGUACACUCUAGAGUGCAGUCUAGAGUUCUUCCCAUUUGGGAACAAGGGCUUUAUUAAACUCUUGUUCAUCUUUCUGCGUCUGGUCAGUUGUGAGAGCUUAAUUGCUUUAUUUAGUAUGUCUUUCACAUACUGGAUAGAAUGGUUAAUUAAUGAUUUCUCGAUGACUGGCAGAUUUUCCUGAUGCUGUUCCUAAUCUAUUACUUCUUCAACAGACAGGGCAUUUGGUGGUGGCAAGUGAUGGCUAGAUCUUUGUACAAACAUGUUUGCCAGUUUCCAUACUUCAUCCGCUAAGGUAAAUAUAUCGCACAUCUUAGGCAAUAAUUCUGGUACCUAAAUCUCACAUGGGGUUCAGAAGAACUCUUAUGCAUUUAGUUGCAACUUUACAAAAAUCUCUACAUUUCAAUUCUUGUUGAUUUCCAUAGCAGGUCUUUUUAAGAAUUUAACUGAAAAUGGUGAAAAUGAUUGCAUAUCAAUUAUGACGAAAUAUAUUUGGACAGCCUUGUACAUGUUUGCUUGGAAAUAUGUGUAGAAUUGUAUAUGUUAAAUGUAAUAAACAUACAAGUAUUUAAAUGGAUUACUAAAAUUAUUCUAAUAAAGACAUGCUCCUUCAAUAAACAAGCAUCAGUUUAAACAUACUAUUAAAAGCUAAAGGCACAUGAGGAGAUAAACAUCCAUUCGGCAUUAGUUAUAUCUAACCCAAAUCAGUCAUUUUCCAAAUUAGGGUUGGGUUGACAGUAAAUUUCUUAGUGAAGGAAGGAGGUGAGUAAUGCAUUUUUUUUCUCCAAUCUGACAAUCACAUGAUUAAUGUGUUAAUGAAGGAAAAAAAGGUAUAGUAUAUAACCCCUACAGUAAGAUACCAUUGACCCAUUCUCUAAAUGGCCAGUUCUCUUAGAUGACAAGAUGGUACUCAACCAAAAUUUUUAAAAAUAAUUUUACGACUUUUCCAUAUUGGCUUAACAAUGAAGUGCAUUCAUUUGUCAACUCUGUGGUAAACAGACCCCUUAAGCGUGUAAAAUGGAAAAUAGCAGAAUUGGAAUUCACAGCAUAGUAAAAAUAAACUGUAAUCUCUAAGGUAGACUGACCAGAUAUAUCCUUUAGGCUACAAUGGUUCUAGCUAAUGUAUGCUAUGGGGCUAUAGCCAUAACAGAGUGUAUUUCUUAAAAGCAUUCACCCAUGAAGGAGAAAUCUGGCCACCCUACUCUAAGGCUAUGUGUUGUUUUUAUAAACCAACGGCAGAUAUAAUUAAGGGUAUAUAUUCAUUAUAUUUUUCGUGGUGAUUUUAGGGAUGAAAAAUGGUUGACUGUUGCAUUUAAUAGAGGAUUUGUUUCAGUGCAUCUUACACAAACUAUCCAGUAGUAAGUUUUAGAACGGUUGUAGACUGCUCAGAUUUAGAGGAAUAUUCAGAUGCUGCCCACUUGCCUCCACAAUCCUCGACAUUGUAAAUGGUGCACAUUCCAGCCAAUAGGAAAUUAGAAUAUGCAAACAUGGUGGAGAUACAAAAUAUCUGGAAAAGUAAUCCAACAACUUUAACUCCUGUUCAAUAUAUUAUACUCACAUCUUACUUUACUUUUUGUUAGUCCGCAGUACUGUGGACUAAAUUAAAGUAUUAUAGAGCAGUCAAAUCACUGAUAGAAGUAACUACAUCAUAUUUAUAAUCUCUCUACAUAAUACUAAACCCAACUAUUUUCAUCACAUAAUUACGAUUUGGCAUCUGCAUGUUACAAAUGGAAAUAAGGUUAUGUUCUAAAAUUUGCAAAAGCAAUUUGAUUUCCACAUACAUUAUCACAAUAUUUUGACAAGGCAAUACAGAGAAUGUGAGUAAUAGCUUAACCACUCUUUCGCAGGAGGUAGAGGCUCCAACUGGACUCUGGAACCACGUUUACAGAUGGGGCAUGGGUCACACAGAUAGAUCCAAAAGUGCUGGCUUUUAAAUUUAUCUUAAAAGUAUUAAUUGUUUAGAACAAUCCUAACCAAUUUUUUUUUUUUAUUAUUAUUUAUUUUUGGAGCGCAGUGUCAGAUACAUGCUUAAGUAAUGACAUAUGACAAAGUAUAAAACGACUUAUAAGUAUAGAAAGAGUUGCUGGGAUUUUUUUUUUUGUCAGAAGUAAGCAGACUUAAAGGACCACUAUAGGCACCCAGACCACUUCAGC